rnacentral:rRNA from 1 species
UACGAACCGUCCUAACGUUAUUCGGAAUCACUGGGCUUAAAGGGUGCGUAGGCGGCCCGAUAAGUUGGGUGUGAAAUCCCUCGGCUCAACCGAGGAAUUGCGCUCAAAACUGUCGGGCUCGAGGAAGAUAGAGGUAAGCGGAACUUAGGGUGGAGCGGUGAAAUGCGUUGAUAUCCUAAGGAACACCGGUGGCGAAAGCGGCUUACUGGGUCUUUACUGACGCUGAGGCACGAAAGCUAGGGUAGCGAACGGG